rnacentral:rRNA from 1 species
UGGUAAUACCGGAUGCUCCGCUCCAUCGCAUGGUGGGGUGGGAAAUGCUUUUGCGGCAUGGGAUGGGGUCGCGUCCUAUCAGCUUGUUGGCGGGGUGAUGGCCCACCAAGGCGUUGACGGGUAGCCGGCCUGAGAGGGUGACCGGCCACAUUGGGACUGAGAUACGGCCCAGACUCCUACGGGAGGCAGCAGUGGGGAAUAUUGCACAAUGGGCGCAAGCCUGAUGCAGCGACGCCGCGUGCGGGAUGGAGGCCUUCGGGUUGUAAACCGCUUUUGUUCAAGGGCAAGGCACGGUUUCGGCCGUGUUGAGUGGAUUGUUCGAAUAAGCACCGGCUAACUACGUGCCAGCAGCCGCGGUAAUACGUAGGGUGCGAGCGUUAUCCGGAUUUAUUGGGCGUAAAGGGCUCGUAGGCGGUUCGUCGCGUCCGGUGUGAAAGUCCAUCGCCUAACGGUGGAUCUGCGCCGGGUACGGGCGGGCUGGAGUGCGGUAGGGGAGACUGGAAUUCCCGGUGUAACGGUGGAAUGUGUAGAUAUCGGAAAAGAAACACCA